GACGAACGCUGGCGGCGUGCUUAACACAUGCAAGUCGAGCGGUAAGGCCCUUUCGGGGGUACACGAGCGGCGAACGGGUGAGUAACACGUGGGUGACCUGCCCUCAGCUCUGGGAUAAGCCUGGGAAACCGGGUCUAAUACUGGAUAUGACUCCAUGACGCAUGUUGGUGGGGGUGGAAAGCCUUGUGCGGGCUGAGGAUAGGGCCCGCGGCCUAUCAGCUUGUUGGUGGGGUGAGNGGCCUACCAAGGCGACGACGGGUAGCCGGCCUGAGAGGGCGACCGGCCACACUGGGACUGAGAC
rnacentral:rRNA from 1 species